rnacentral:rRNA from 1 species
AGGACAAACGCUGGCGGAAUGUAUUAGGCAUGCAAGUCGUACGAACCUUCGGGUUAGUGGCGAACGGGUGAGUAACACGUGGGUAACCUGCCUCGUAGUGGGGAAUAACUCGCCGAAAGGCGAGCUAAUACCGCAUAACACCUCUGGUGAGAUUCCAGAUGGUAAAAGCUCCGGCGCUACGAGAGGGGCCCGCGGUCGAUUAGCUAGUUGGUGGGGUAACGGCCUACCAAGGCGACGAUCGAUAGCUGGUCUGAGAGGAUGGUCAGCCACACGGGGACUGAGAUACGGCCCCGACUCCUACGGGCGCAGCAGCUAAGAAUCUGCGCAAUGGGACGAAAGCCUGGACGCAGGCAAUUCCGCGGUGGGGACGAAGGCCUUACGGGUCGUAAACCCCGUUUGCCGAGGAAGAAGUACUGACGGUACCUGCGAAUAAGACACGGCUAACACGUGCCAGCAGCCGACGGU